GAAGAAAGAAGCAGAGAAGUAAAGAGCAAGAGAGAUGGAGAGAAAAAGAUACUUUAAAAGGCAAAGCAUGGUGUGGUUUUUUGCAGUAUUAAAAAAUAAUUUACGACAUAAAAAAAAAACAUGUAUACAAGUUCAAUAUUCAUAGGGUAAUAGCCGUAUAAUCUAUGGCACAGGCACUCAAAACACUUGACUCAAAACACUAACUGCCUAGUGAGUGAAGGUGUCUCUAUAAAAAGUUUAUGAUAAAAUAGAAAAGCAUUUGCUACAAAGUUCAAUUGGUAAAACCAGGUAUCAAAUCAAAUCAAAUCAAAUAUAAAGAAUACAUGCAAAAAACAAAUAAUUGGAAAAGCCUAGGCUAGAACUCAUUAUCCUUGUUGAUUUGCUGGUAUGGUUGGUUUUCUUAUUUCUCCCAAAUUUUCAAAUAACCCAAAAUAAUGAUGUAUUCUUUUUUAAAAAACCCGUUUGCAGGUUAACAUUUCGGUUUUUCAGAAGCUAGCAAUUUUCCAAAUUCUAAAUGUAGGCUGUCCAGUUAACAUCAUGUUUCCUGGAUUAAGAAAAAGAGCAGGAGAUUAUUUUUUCUCCCUAAUUUAAUUCUGAAAUUAAGAUGGCCUUUAAAAUAAUGAAUUUUACGUCUUCAUCUAAGGGUAGUAUGUCUUUAGUAAAGAACUGAUAAAAAUACAGAAUAUAAAAAGAAAGGAAAAAAAUCAAGAGUACCUCUAGUGAAAGACAACUAUUUUUAAUAACAUCUACAUUCGCUUUUUUUUCUAUGUAUUUUUCCUCUUUUAUUAUAACGUUAUAAUCACACUAUAGGUAUAAUUUCACUUUUGUGUGUUUUUCUCUAUAAAACCCUCUUUGUUCCUUUGUAGGGAUCAUCACAUCUUUUUAUAUUUUUUUUUUCAACGUUUAUUUAUUUUUGGGACAGAGAGAGACAGAGCAUGAACGGGGGAGGGGCAGAGAGAGAGGGAGACACAAAAUCGGAAGCAGGCUCCAGGCUCUGAGCCAUCAGCCCAGAGCCCGACGCGGGGCUCGAACUCACGGACCGCGAGAUCGUGACCUGGCUGAAGUCGGACGCUUAACUGACUGCGCCACCCAGGCGCCCCUCAUCACAUCUUUUUAAUGAAAGUGUAUAUGACAUACAGGAACUGACUGGUUUCAGGCGUACAUCAUAGUUACAAGUCAUUUUUAAAGAGCUCCAAAUUCAGCCCAACAAUAGAUACAUAAUCUAAAAUUAUGCAAGUUCCCAGAAUCGAAAUGUAAGAAAUACUAAAAAAAAAAAAAAAAAAUGAACUUGAAUCAUACUGAAUCCAGGACUAGCUGCUCUCUGAAAAUAUGACCCUACUAAUUAAUAGGCGGGUAUUGCUACAGAACAUGUUUUGACACACAGUGGAGUACUCCACAUACGAAAGCAUCAACUAAUUCCUAAGCAGUCCAACAAUGAUGUCACUUGAGUGCUGGAAUGUUUCGGCUGUCUGUGGAGCCUGGGUGGACAGAGCUGGGGCUGCCAUUUUUCUCACCUUCACUUUAAGUCAAGCUUGGGAAUAUGGAUAUGAAAAUAUGUAGAAGUAAACAGAGGGAAAGACAAGAAUGAAGAGGAGGAGGAAAGGAACAAGUUGGCCAUCUAAAUGGUGCUACAGAAUGGACUUUAGUUGUCGGAAUGAGAAUUUAAUGAAUGGGUCUCAAACUUUGUUGGGUAUGAUAAUCAUCCAGGAGAGUGGUUCGAAGACAGAUUCCUGGACCUUGUCACCAACAAGUAAUACUCAGUUGCUGCAGGGGAGGGGGGCUCUUUAUGAACACUCAGGUUGCUAUUCAAGACAGCAAGUUGGUACUCAGACUAGUUUUCAAGAAACACUCAUUUAAGAUUGUGGAAUAAUUUCCUACUAAAAAAAAGCGCACUUUCAAUGGCAAUAGAGCAUGUUUAAGAGGGGUCUGACCAGUUGCAUCCAAAGACUUAAAAUAAAAAUUGAGAAAGAAGAAAUAAGACUAACUAAGGCUGUAAAUCAAGAUAGCAUCAAGGUAGAAAAAUCUAGGAGUCCUUUUGAGAAUCCAAGAUGGGGACCCAGGAACAAUUGUUACAGCAUUACAUACUUGCCUUCGUGGUCACCAGACAGCAUAUUAAUGUCAGAAAACCCAAAUUUCAUUAUUACUAAUAACAUGCCAUAUGUAUCAUUCAGAUAUGUUUUGAGUGGCCUGGGGCAUAUAAUUAGAAUAUGGUUCCAGAAAAUUGUGCUUUGUACAAAUAAUAACUAUCUCAUAGAAUAAGCAAAGCACUGGUAUUGUGUAUCAUGUAAGCGUCUGUCUGUCUAUCUCUCGGUCUUUAUCACAGAGGGAUGGAUGGAUGGAUAGAUGAAGAGGCAAAGAGUAGGAGAGAGAAAGACAGAAAAAGAUAGCGUAUAUAACCAAAAUCAACAUCAGAAAUGACGUGUUCAGGAAAAUGUAAAUGACUCAAUUUGACCUGAGACGUGCUAAACACUCAAAUCAAGCAACAAACAUAGGCAAAACUGACAAUCUCAUUUAAAACUCUAUCUCUGAUGAUGUUAAAUCAUAGUUGCCUACACUGGCAUUGAUUGGACUAAGAGUAAGGAGUAAUUAUGAAGAAAAUAUUUUCAUAGUCUAAUAAGGGUAAUUUUGAUUACAUCAUUUAUGAUGUUAAUGGAUUUACUUGAUUGCUUCUGUAAUAAAGAAAUCAAAAACAAAAAAUUCCCAGCAAUCCUAUCUUAAGGUAACAUGGAUAAAAGUACAUACAUCACUCCUGAUCGCUCAUUUCUAUAUUAGCACAUCCAAUAAACAUUUUGGUGUCUUGCCCUCUUUUAAUUAUUUGACUUUGCGUAAUUUUCUUUCAUUAUAUGUUAUUACAUUAUUUAAACAUUUUCAUAAAUAUUUUAACGUUUGCAUAACAUUCUAUCAUGUAUGUAUAUUCAAUAUGUAAUAUGUCUUCCCUCAUUUUGAGAUUUCAUAAAUUAUUAAAUUUCUUUCUAAUGAUGUGCCAUUUUACAAAGUGAAGAAAUCACUGGGGCACAUGUACCGUUGUACUAGCUAAGAUGAAAAAGAGAUAACGCAGAGAAAUUUUUAACGAUGACUCCAAUACCUUAGAAAUGAAAAUAGUGCGGGGAGUCUGAGUGGCUCAGUCAGUUCAGGGUCCGACUUCAGCUCAGGUCAUGAUCUGAAGGUUUGUGAGUUCAAGCCCCGUGUCAGGCUCUGUGUUGACAGCUCAGAGCCUAGAGUCUGCUUCGGAUUCUGCAUCUCCCUCUUUCUCUGCCCCUGCUCUACUCAGUCUCUGUCUCUGUCUCUCAAAAAAUGAAUAAAUGUAAAAAAAAAAAAAAUUAAAAUAGUACUAGGGAAAUUCUUGGCCCAGUCUGAAUUUUGUUAAAAUUUUACAAAAGUUAAUGUUCAAAUAAAUUGAUUAAUCGAAUCCCUUUUCUGGAGAUUCAGAGUCAUGACUUAGUAGGGACAGAAUGUUGAAUAUAAUAAACAUAACGUUAAUACAAUCACAACUGUCUACCAAAAGAUGAAUUUGGCAACACAGCAAGCGAUUUCUACAACUCUGGUGGUUCCUGUUUUGUUUGGCUUGGGUUGGCGUGAUAGAUAGUAAUAAUGAUAGGACACCCAGGAAAAAGAAAAACAAUAGUGUCGCAAAUAUUGCCAUGACACUCAAAGACAAAUAAGAAGACAAAGAAUGCUGUUUUUCUUAAACUAAGGUUGGAGAUAAUAACCAGUGAGACUUUCCAUCCAUGUUAAGAGCCUGACUCUAAGGAGGAGGGGGGGAGGAUUUGGCCCACUGCUUGGGGUCAAUGAUCAAACACUAACAGGAAGCCCAAUUACCUUUUUCUAGGUGGGCUAUCAAAGAGCAUAAUCUUUGCACUUCACAGUGUACAGGAGACAUGGUUAAAAGGAAACUGGAGCCAAAGAUAAGGAAAACGAUAGUAGGGAAAUACCCUUUUCAUGAAGCUGUCUCCAGGCCCAUUCAAAUUACUUCUUCGCAUAUAGACAGAACUUUGAAGGUGGGUUUGGCUGUUCUCCUCUUAGUGAUCUUUGAAGAAUCAAGUGAGAGAGCUUCCGUUGGGCAAACGUUUCCUAGUUCCAAGAGUCAUUUCUAGACCCACUAAUGAACUCUACUAUGACUAAGGAUUGGAAUUUAGAAACUACGAUUACUGAUGUAGCAAAGCAAAGCAGUAGACACAGGGCAAUGUAUUUCAAAACAAGAAUCUGAGAGUAUCUGCGACUAUAUUCUUCUUUACAGGGCGAGGAGACAUUGCUGAGAUGACAUGGGAGUUACUCACAUCUUCAGUCUUAAUAAGUCAAGGUAGAGCAAAAACUCCAGUUAUACGCCGUGCGAUGCUGCUAUUGACCUCAUCUUGAUCAAUAUUCAUACUCAAAAUGCCAGAAAAGAAACCUGGGACUUUGACCCCAUCGAAUUGAUAGAUGAUACAACUGCUGGUGACAUACCUGAUCCAAUUACAAAAGACUAAUCCAAGAGAUAUUCAGGCUGACAUCAUAUAAGACUAUGUAUUUAACAAUUUUUUUUAAUGUUUAUUCAGUUUUGAAAGAAAGAGACAGAGCACAAGCAGGGGUGGGGCAGAGAGAGAUGGAGACACAGAAUCCAAAGCAGGCUCCAGGCUCUGAGCCAUCAGCACAGAGCCCGACGCGGGGCUCAAACUCACAAACUGCGAGAUCAUGACCUGAGUCAAAAUCAGACACUCAACAGACUGAGCUGCCCAGGCACCCCCAAGACUAUGUUUUUUAAAGGAAAUCUAGAUAUACCUAGAAUCUUCCACUAGAUUUAUAAAAUUAGUUGCUUAAUGAAAAGAUAAAGGAAAAAAUAAAAGACAGGGAAACCUGGUUUAAGGGCAGUUUGAGUAAAAAGUACGUAAGAAAAAUAGUUGACUAAAGAUGCCUGGGUGGUUCAGUCAGUUAAGCUUCUGAUUUUGGCUCAGGUCAUGAUCUCACAGUUCAUGGGUUCGAGCCCUGUGUCAGGAUCUGCACUGACAGCUCAGAGCCUGGAGCCUGCUUCCGAUUGUGUGUCUCCCUCUCUCUCUCUGUCCCUCCCCUGCUCACACACUUUCUGUGUCUCUCAAAAAUAAACAAACAUGAAAAAUUAAAAAAAAAAAAGAAAAACAGUAGACUGUUAGUUUAUAUUCUAGAUAAUACCAUCUGUACCAUCUGAUCUCUCAAUAAAGCUGAUAUUUUCUUCCUGGUAUAUAUCUGUAUUGGUUUCUCAGCUGGAUCAGAAGUUAUGGGAGGAGAAGUGUGAUCAAACCAAAACAAAUGGUUUUUAGGUCUGAUUAUCUUUUCUCUCUUUGUAUUCUCAUUUUAUAAUUGAGGGUACAGAGACUUAGAGACUUUCCCUACUUCCCAAAGCCAGCCCAUACUAAUGGUAGUUUUUGAGCCUGGAUCUGAAUGGCUUUAAAACCCUUGCCAUUAACCACACUCCCCCAACCCCUCCUGGAGGCAGGAGGUUAGGGUCCUUCCUACACUUGGUGGAAUUCUUUAUAAGAGGAGCAUGGACCUUGCCAUUUGCAACAGCAUGGCUGGAACCGGAGGGUAUUAUCCUAACUGAAACAAGUCAGUCAGAGAAAGAUAAAUAGCCUAAGACUUCACUCAUAUGUGAAAUUUAAGAUACAAAACAGAUGAACAGAAGGGAAGGGAAGCAAAAUUAACAUAAGCCCAGGGAGGGGGACCAAACAUAAGAGACUCUUAAAUACAGAGAACAAAGUGAAGAUGACUGGAGGGGUUGUGGGUAGGGGGAUGGGCUAAAUGGGUAAGGGGCAUUGAGGAAGACACUUGUUGGGAUGAGCAUUGGGUGCUAUAUGUAGGGGAUGAAUUCAUGGAUUCUACUCCUGAAAUCAUUAUUGCACUAGAUGCUAGCUAACAUUGGUGUAAAUUUAGAUAAUUAAUUAAUUAAUUAAUUAAUGAAAAAUCUGAGGAUCAUGGACUGACUCAAGUCCACUGCAAGAGGAAGUGGGCAGGGGUGGAGGUCAGGGUGAUGGGGAUUUGAAAAAUUAUGCAAUAUGAGUCAUGGCAAAAUGAAAUGGAAAAGGUUUACUCUGAACAGAGGACACAUGGCAAGGACAAGGACACUACUGUCCAUCAUUUCAAUGGAUGCAGAGUGGAAGCAAGAUUAGAAGUAUUCGAUCCAUAAGCAGAAAGCUGACCUCUGCUGGGAGGUUGAAUGAAAAAAUGGGGGUGGCUGAUUUUCAUUAAUAUGUAAACAGGCAUUAUAAUUUAAACUACAGAAAAAUAUUCUUGGCUUCCUCAAUUCCAGCUCCAACAGGGCUGGGUGGUCACUUUUCGGGAAUCUGUGCAAGAAGUAGGUGUCCUCGAUUUAUUCAUCCAUUUAGUAAAGAUGAACUGAGCAUCUACUGUGAGUGAGGCAUGCUUCUCGAUGGUCAGAAUGCCCUGGUGACCAAGAGACAUGGACAUAUUUAUAAAAUAAAUUACAAUUAUAAUAGACAACUAAAACACACAGUGUUGAAUAAGUGAUAGGAUACUUCUCUCAGAGUUCCAUUCUGGCAAGAGGGUGAGGAAGAAAAAAACCCAAGUAAGCAAAUAAUGAAUAACUUAAUUUUUGGUGAUAAUAACUGCCAUGAAAAACAAAUCAUGAUGUGAAAGAGUAUGACCAAGGAUGUGGGUCAACUUUAGAUAGCUGUUCAAAAAAGUCUUCUCUAAGCUGACACCUACUGAACUGAGUACUUAAUGACAAAACAGAGCUUACAAAAUCUAGGGUAUGGAAUUUGAGCUGGGGUAAUAGCAAGGACAAAGCAUCUUAGGUUUUUUGUGUGUUGUUUUUUUUUAAUUUAUUUAUUUGGAGAGAGAAACCGGGAUCAUCAACAGAGAAGGGACAGAGAGAGAGACACACACAGAAUCCCAAGCUGGCUCCAGGCUUGGUUGUUGUCAGCACAGAGCCUGAUGCGGGGCUUGAACCCACAAACUGCAAGUUCAUAACCUGAGCCAAAGUCAGACACUUCACUGACCGAGCCACCCAGGUGCCCCAAAGCAUCUUAGGUUUGAGUGGGCUUCUUGUAUAGAAGGAAAUUCACUACAAGUAGAGAAUCACUAGCUUAACUGAGAGGUUAGGUUCACCUGUUAAUGUAAUAUUCCUUACUUGAAAAUAUUUCAUCAGUCUAAAUUCAUGAAAUAGAUUAUAUUUCAUAAUAUAGGUAUAAAGGUAUACGUGUGAAAUAUCCAUGAGGUCUGCUGUCAAUAGAGAAAUACAUUCUGUGGCAAGCUUUUGAGACCUACAGAUAAAGAUUUUGACACCUGUAAAUCUAUAGAGGGGUAUUGGCCUCAGUUUCCCUCUCACUUUCCCUAAGGGAAAAUCCUCUGCACCUUUGUUGAUUAUUAUGAUGAACACUUUUUUCACAGCAGUUGAAGACCUUGCAUUCCAACAUCACUCCCAUCCUUGGCUCAGGGACCAAGCACAACACAGAGAGCUGGGAGCCCCAGCUCUUGUCUCCUGCCAUCAUUGACCAAGUGUGUAAUUUUAAUCAAGGGGUCAUGUCUCAGAGCCUCCAGUCUCUCCAUCUGUAAACAGAGAGGAUUACACUUGCCUAACCAGUUGGAUGUCAUCUCCGAGAUCAAGGCAGACAACGACAUAAAAGAGAAUUUGAGAAGGUUUAUAUUAUCAGACAGCAACCUUAAGAGAAACUUGAAGCACGCUCCUUCUGUGGAGGAGAAGGACAUCUUUGUCAUUAUUCUACAACUUGCAGAGGAUAUGAAGCCCACAGCACGCUCCUAACCAAGAUAUAGGAAGAGAAGCAACUUGAACAUAAGGGAAAUACCCAAAGGAGAGGGAGGAGUGAAGGAUGGUGAUCUGGAGGAGUAGGGAAGAGCGAGAUUUGAACCUGAGAGGCGAGAUGGUGGUAAAGAAAUUAUGAAUGAGAGCUUUGCAAAAUAGACAAAAGGAAAAACUCAGGUAAAAAUGCAGGCACACAUAAGGAAGGAAUGUACCCCAGCACUACAUCCCUUAACACGUCUUCUGUUUUUAUUAAAAGGCAAAAACUAUCUUGACACAUACCCUUCAGGGGCGACCCUCCCCCAGUUGACUCAUCUGCGGAAAUGGAAAAUCUGUGAAUUUUUAUGGGUUUCCUCAUAUUUAUUCUUUACCAGAAUGAUACUAUUAUUUAACUUCCUUUCCUCUAACAACAUUAUACUAUAAUGUUGCAGAUAUAGAUUGGGAUCCUUACUGCCUCAUUGGGGCUGGGGUGGGGGCAGGGUGCAGUGGACACUAACAAUAGCAAAAAAAAAAACCACACCUUCUCUCACAGAGAAAAGGGUAUCUAUAGAGUUUAUGAAAAUAUUUUGCCAUUUUCCAGGCUCUCUACAUACCGAAGAGUGAAAACGACAAACUAUGAAGUGUCAGCAGACAGACAAUUCCAUCAACCAAGUAAAGAUCCUGAUAACAGACACUUACGACAGUUCAAUGCAAAUGAGACUUUCCAACGCAACAAGUUUCCAAAGGGUGGCUGGUGGAGAUUCGUGACUGACUUCAUGGAGCUCAUCUGUAGCUAUUACUUGACUGUGGACACACGUCAUGUCCCCCAAACAUGUAUCCCAAAGCCUAGGUGAAAAAUUCGUCAGAAAAGACUUCUCCAUACCAAAUUUUCUGCCCCUCUCUCCAUCUCAUCACCCCUACCCCCAUAAACUGCCUGAAAUUCCAGCAUCUAAGAGUCUUUAGGGCUCAUACUUUGUAUAUUUUUAAGAACUAUCACAGGAGAUGAUAUGUAUCAUGUUCUGGAAAGUCCAACUCUAAAGUCAUUAUCAGUGCCAUGUCUUACGAAAUGAAUGAAAAUGAGAUACAGGCAAUUUGUUGGGGGUUUUCUGGCGGGGGGGAGGGUGGGAAGGGGGCUCGUAGAAGACAAGGAUUGUCUUUUCUGUCUAGGAAAACAGUCUGAGUGAAGCUGCACUGAGGCUUCUGUAUGAGUUUUGAAAAGAGCUCUUUGAAGAGAGCCAACAUAAUGGAAAGGUGCUUUCAGGAGGUAUAAGUCUAUCAAAGCUUAACCUGUUCAACAUCCUAAUUAUUCUCUGACAUUUGGCAAGGCUACCAUACCCUCAUAUCAUAAAGAAAAUAAUAAUUACAAAAUUCUCAUCAUACAGCAUUGGUAACAGAUAUGACAUAGUUGAAUUUGAAGGGAGACAGUAAAACUUAAGACAAAUGUAUGAUAAAUCAGGUGUCUUUAAAGGUCAGAAAAAGAUUAUCCUAUAAACUACCUCAUUAAUUUACAAGUCCUGAUUUGCCAGUUGGUGGAGGGAGAGGGUAUGACUACUGUUCAUUCUUUCUUCAGAUUUGAGGUUUUCUCUUUUAGCUGUUGCCUUUAAGAUAAAAGAGAAGAAAAAGAAUGAGUCAACAGAAAGCCAAGUGUUUCUGUUCUGGUUUUGGAGAAUGGGUAGGGAGAGAGGCUAAGUCCUAGAACAGGAGAGAGUGAAUAUAAAAUGAAAAGCCGCAGAAUUUCAGCAUCAGGGGAGGGCAUGUAUCCAAAAACCAGUCUAGAGCCAUUUAACAAAUAAUAGGUGAGGGUCAGGGGUGCCUUAAUGAUUCUGGCCACACUCGCUGGAGCAUUCCAGACUCUACCCUCAGUAUCUGUGCUUUCUCCCCACCCCCCACUCCACUAAUCUGCUUUGAGACCUUCUUUCCUAAGCUAUAGUGUAUGGGUUCCUGACAUUAAGGCACAAGGAAAAAAACAAUCAACACAGACCAAGAUUUUUAAGUUAGACUGCACAAUAAUUAACCUUGAAAUAUCUCCGGGAGGUGAGGGUGAGGUUUGGGAGUGGAGCCUGGGAUUCCCAGUGGGGCUGUUGACAUUCGUCACAUAGGAAGCCUGGGAACAUUAUUACCUUUGUAAAGGAUAUUAGGAAAUGAGUGGAGAGAUUUGAUUCCCAAUUCUACAAUUCUAUGUAAAGUUUGAUAAGCAUAUUUGUAAGCGAUUUUCCAGCUUCCUCGGACUAAUUGCUUGAAAGUCACUGCCACACUCUUAACUUAAAUACGCAAGUUCAUUUUAUUCCAAUGUGAGAAAGAAACGAGCAUAAAGCUGUCUUUUCAUCCCCAGAUACUGAAGUGUUGCAGUAACGGUCCAAGCCCAAGAUAGAGCUGGUACUGCUGGGGGUGCAGCUAACAGAAACUAUGAGAACUUUUCGUGUCCCUUUGAAAGCUCUGCUUGACCAGAAACUCACUGUAACUAGUUAGCCAAUCUCCAAACAUGAGGCAAUAUGGGCCUUCUCACCCCUAACACAUUGACUUUGUGGCCCCAGCCAAUCAGAUCAUUUCUAUUUGUCGAUCCUUGUUAUCUAUUCUCUACCCUAUAAAGGCUUCUUGCCUUCUAGUCCAUUUCACAGUUCUCUGAAAGGAGACUGCCCACUUCCUAAAGUGUGAAACCAAGUUUGUUUGUAUCACCUAAAAUGCCUUCCUUAUUCCUUUUUGUAACAAAAGCUCUGGGAGACUAGUUGCUGGAUGUUUUAUGCAAUCCUUACCACCCUGCUGUAUUUGAAAAACCGAAAAUAGUAUUAAAUGGUGUUGCCAUUUCUUCGAACCUUAUUAGUAUGGCAUUUUACGGGGCUGGUCUCAUUUCCCCCGUUUACUGUCACAAACAACACUGAAAAAAGAAAUCAUGGUAUCUUUCUACUUUGAUUUGUAAAAAACAUUCCCUUGACUCCAUUCAAAUGGAGAAACAAACUUCUAAUGGCAUCCAUUUACAACGUUGCUCAAGACAACUACCAAACUUUUAACAGCACAUACAGGACUACUAUAUAUUUAAACAAACUUAAUAUGCUCCAGAGAAUUUCUAAAGCAUUUCUGUUUGGAGGCGUCUAUGACUUCCCCACCACAUACUUAUGAUUUCUCAACAUUUGUUUUUUUUUUUUGGUUUUCUCUCCCUCAAGUUGUUUUCCCACAGCAUUUUUGUAGCAGGGUACCUCUGUUAACUAUAAACUUUUACAAGUUUAUUUUUAACCCUUGCAUUUGCACCCUCCUGCAUUUAUAGAACAGAAAUCUGUCUUCUGAAACAAACCCCCUCUUUUAAGUUCCACACUGGCAUUUCAGACUGACCAGCUGGACAGACACUUCAUUCAGUCACUGACAAUUCAUUCCAGCCUCACAAGUGCAGCUGGGGGAUUAGAACUUUUUCAGUCACCGAGUACUUUUUACUGAAGAAAGAUUUGCGGUCCUCAAGAUGGCCUAAUUUAUUCCAUACAUCCCUAAAGUGCCAUAAACAAUCUAAGAAUUGCCCAAUCAAUACUUUGUUCUUGUUACAUAGGAAAAAAAAUAGCAAGAAGAACAAAGUAAAAGAAAAGAAAAGGAAAAAAAAAAACCUUGGGAAAAAAUAUCCACAGUGAUUUAUGUAUGCCAUAUUUUUUGAAGAUACUUGCACAAUUUUUACUCUGGGAUAAUUGCUUUAAGACAAGUCAAAUAUGCUCUAUCUGGCUAGAAUUCACAUAACUUCAACAGUUAUUUACACUGGAACUAAUCAAUGGGAAUACACAUAGAACAAGAUAAUGUUCUCAUUCUCAAUAUCCUUACCAGCGGUUCAUAGACAACAGAUAACUCUAGCUGCAGUUUCCCCAGAGUGCUAUGGAAGCAGGGAAAAGAAAUGAAUCCAGUUUGGGAUAUGUCGGGAAGGAGGGCAGGUCACGAAACUACUGCCUGAAGUAACUGGUAAACUGAGUCGUAAAGAAUGAACAGAUUUUAUCAAGGUAAAUCAAAUGGAGAAAGAAUAUUCCAGAGAAAGAACAGCUGGCACAAAAUACUGGGUUGUGAAACGGCCUAAUGUUUACAGUCAACAAUAAUGGAUCAGCAUUUGUGGAAUUUGGAGCAAUGGAGUAUAGAUUCUAGGCAAGCAGUGGAACUCAGGACAUAAGAGAGUCCUCCUAGGAAAGGGCCAAGGACAUCAUGGUAAGGAACCAGAAACUUAAUCUGCAGAAAGAGAAAUCAUAGUAUAAAUAGAUAGGAAUUGGGGGUAGAUUGCAUUAAUGAUACAGACAAAUUUUAGGGUAGCAAGAUUGAAGGCAAAGAUAUGUAGGGGAGACAAAAAAAAACCUUUUCCUCAACCCAUUUUAGAUUCAGGGGCUAGGUCCUUGCAAAUUAGACAAAGGACAGAUUAACAAAGGAGUAACAAAGAAGUUCACUAAUAUGUAUAUUGUUGAUAUACACAGAGGUACUCAGUGAUGAGUAACUCAAAGGGGUGUUUAGAACUUGAACUUGUAUAACAUAGUAGCUAAGAACAAAAAUGUUGCCGAGAAUUGACAAAGCCAAAUGGAAGGACUUUGAGCCUCUAGGGAUGAAAGUUGCAGAAAUGUUAAUAAAUGGGGGGAAAUGGUAGAUAAUAGAAAGGGUUGUGUCGGCUUCUUCUAGGUGCUAUCUCUGGGUUGAGAAAAGUCUAGAGUUCUCUUGUGAUUAAAUUCUCUCUCCUCAUAGAAAGGAAGGGAGAGACAGCUUUGCAAAUUUAUGUCCUGCUUUUAGGCAAACAGGGGGAGGACAGAUAUCUUUUCUUGUAUCUGCUUCUUCUCAAUUGUCUUCAGCUCAAAAUAAUCCCUAAGCAAAAGCAGCAUAUUUUGGAAUCACACAUCCUGGAGUAGCAACAUAGAUGUUUGAUGCAGAGAGUAUCAUAAAUAAUGGGUGGAGGAUGAUGGGGAUUUAAAUAAGAAAGAGGUAGUAGGGAUGAACAGAGGAAGACUGAGUCGAUGCAAAUUUAGAAGACAAAAAUGAAAAGAUCCACAUAAUUAUACUGACUGUACAGUGAAAAAAAGGAGGUGGGGGGGGUAAUGGCAUGCAACUAAGGAGAACAUGGGAGAAGGAGAAAAUAAAAAGAUGCAGCCUUGAAGAUGACUCUACUUUUAGAUGAGAGAUGCCCAGGAGGAACUUGGGCUUCUUGGUAUAGAUCUCACAGAAUGCAAGCAAGCCUGCAUUAGGAGUCACUGAUGUAAAGUGGUUAAAAUGACAAGCGUGACUGAACUCAAAGAAUGGGUGUUGAGCAGACCUGAAAACCAGAAAAGGUCAGCAAUAUGAAACUUUGACACCAGCCAAGCUAAAGGACACCGAGGAAGAUUGUCUCAGAGGUGACAAGGGAUACCAGAGAAACUGAAGCCACAGAAGCUGAAGGACAGUGGGAGUUUCAAGGACAAGAGUGGGCAAAAUUGUCCCAAGAGCGGCUCUCUCCUGUCAAGUAUAAACCAGAACCAUUUUCUUGACUAAUGUAGAGGUCGCUGGGGAACCCUGGGGUUGUAGUGGAGGGUGGGGCCCUUUUAGGGCAGUGAAAUGGAUUGACAGAACUAGAGAAAUCAAAUAAUUGGGACUCGUUUGAAAUACAUAUAUGUUAUUUUGUGAGGAACCUCCACACUGUUUUCCAGAGCGGCUGCACCAGUUUGCAUUCCCCCCAGCAGUGCAUGAGGGUUCCCAUUUCUCCACAUCCUUAACCAGCAUGGGUUGUCUCCCGAGUUGUUCAUGUUAGCCACUCGGACUGGUGUGGGGUGGAAAAUGGGUGGUGGGCAUCGACGAGGGCACUGGUUGGGAUGAGCACUGGGGGUUCUAUGGAAGAGAUGAACCACGGGAAUCUACCCCCCAAACCAAGAGCACACUGUAUACACUGUAUGUUAGCCAACCUGGCAAAUAAAUAAAUAAAUAAGUAAGUAAGUAAGUAAGUAAGUAAGUAAGUAAGUAAAUAAAUAAAUAAAUAAAUAAAUAAAUAAAAUGUACAUUCUCUGGCCGGAAUAUGUAACGCAAGAAUCCCACCUCCAUCCUCCCCCAGUGGCACACGCUUUAUUCACGUGUAUUUGAAUGGGACAGAUGCACUAUGUUCACAAGGUGAGAGCCUGUAGAGAAAAACGUUGAUGCUACCAACGACCGCGGGUAACUGAGAAUCAAGGGAAGGGAGGCAAUCAAUUCAAGGGCAAAUCUAGAGUGAUUUUGCCUUCCACAGGAGGAAGCCCACCACCGUCUUUCCAAAACUGCAGGCAAGGACUAUGGCCUGCACUUCGGUGGAUGCGUUUGGUGAAUUAACCUAUUCCAAAUCAGUCUGCACCUGUUGCUACACACCUACAAAUGGAUCCAAGCUAUACGUCUUCAUGUUACCACUUUUGGGGCUCCUCUCAAGAACUUAGGCACAGACAUGAAAUGCCAGGGUAAAACUAGGCUCACACAGUAGACAUGUGCAAACCAGCUGAAGUGACAGCCUGAGAGCAUGAACAUAGAGUGGCCUGGUGGUAAAUAUUAAGUACCUCCUAUGGUCAAGAUACCGCGACAAACAUUUUGCAGACAGAAAGUAAUCAUCCUCAUUUAUUAUUGAGAAUAAUCAAAUUUAUUUAGUCCUCUUCUUCGCUUCUCAUAGAUGAGACAACUGGGUCACUCACGCCAAGCUACACAGAAAAAGCUUUACAGAAAAAUUACUUGGUAGAAAAGGAAGGAAUGGGGACAGGGCCUAAGCACAUACUAUCCCGCUUCAGAAUCUGUGAACCUGGAUUCUAAAACAAAAAUUUUCAGGGGCGCCUGGGUGGCUCAGUCAGUUAAAUGUCUAACCGCAGCUCAGGUCAUGGUCUCACGGUUUGUGGGUUCGAGCCCCACGUCGGGCUCUGCGCUGACCGCUCGGAGCCAGGAGUCUGCUUUGGAUUCUGUGUCUCCCUCUCUCUCUGCCCCUCCCCAGCUCCAACUCUGUCUCUGUCGCUGUCUGUCAAAAAUAAACAUUUAAAAAUAAAUAAAUGAAAGCAA
rnacentral:lncRNA from 1 species